CUCUUGUGAGGCAAGGAGGGAGCCAAGACCAGGCUGAGCAGGCUGUGGGGUGCAGAUCAUCACUGACCACCUGUAAAUGCCAUGGGCAACAGCUCUGCUCCCACAGGGGCAGCCAGUCUUCAAGGGUUGUUUCUGCUGGAAUAGACUUCUUGAUCCCUUAGAAUGACUUAAGGACAUCAAAAUAUGAUCUAGUUUUUGCCUACCAGGAGAAAGGUCUGUCACGGCCCCUAGUGGCUCAGAGGCACCCAGACAGCGCCGUGGGCCCGGCAGCAGCAGCCCGGAGAAGGGUGAAGUG
rnacentral:lncRNA from 1 species